AGAGAGAGAGAGAGAGAAGAGAGAUGAAAUGGGCUAAUGUGGGGAAUGGAGAAUUCUAGACAAUAAUAGGAGAGAGUGACGGUAGGUGUAGUGGAGGCGUCUGCUUUUUUUUUUUUUUAACAGGAGGCGUCUGUUUGUGGUGAAAUAAUUUAGCUUUUGUGUUACAUGUGUAUUUUACACCGUAUAUGUAAAACAGGAGAGAGAGAGAGAGAG
rnacentral:misc_RNA from 1 species